CAUGUUUGUGUGUAAUUAUUUGCUGCUAAAUAGAACUAAAUUCUCCAAAUAUUAAUAAAAUGUUCAUGACAGUAAAUUAAAUAUUUGAAAUCUUGUUCUCUUUAUAAAAGUUUGGAGAAAAAACUUUAAAAUCCUUAAAAAUGUAAAAAAUAUUAAAUGAGUCUUAGAAUGUGUGUCAUUAAUCGUAGUUUGAUUGUAAUAUAAAGUGUGUUUAGAUUUCUGUUCUCCUACUGAUGCACUAAAAACUAAAGACACCACUAGAGGGCGCUUAGCUCCCUCCAGGGAUGAGACAGAGACAAACCCUACAUUUUACAGUGAAGCUGUUCUAGUGUGUUCUUUUCUUUGUUCUUACAAACGGACCCACCCCAAAACUCACUGAGCUGCCAGACAUGAGAUUGUUGGACUUCUGUUCAAGUUCUUGAUCACAAUUUUCUGAUAAAAAUACAUUAAACUGUGGAAUAUGUGGGAAUUUGAGGUAAUUGUUUGAAAUGAUUGAUCCUUUUGAUAUAAAAAACACAAAAUGAAAGAUAAACAGAUAUAAACUCCAUCAUUUUCCUGUGUUUUCUCUGAACAGAGAGAUCAGAGUCAUCCUGCCACACCAGGUUCCUGUUCCAGAAAGCUGUUAACUCACCAUCUAGGAAACCCUCACCUUCAGGUUGAUCAACUCCUCACCUUCCCACGCUGAGAAUCUGUGUUCCACCUGGAGGUUACAGUUGUGGACUGAAUCCUGGAUGACUCAGACUGAUGAAGUCAGUUGGAUGAGCGACAGAAGGUUUCAAGGAAGAUUUUGAGUCCAGUUGCUCAGAGUCAACUUCAAGACAACACCACCUGGAUGAUUGAGAAUCUUCACAGAUAAACAUAAAAAGAAAACCGAUUUCUCUUUUUACACAGGA